CCUACGGGAGGCAGCAGUGGGGAAUAUUGGGCAAUGGGCGCAAGCCUGACCCAGCAACGCCGCGUGAAGGAUGAAGGUUUUCGGAUUGUAAACUUCUGUCGCGAGGGACGAAGAAUGACGGUACCUCGUAAGAAAGCCCCGGCUAACUACGUGCCAGCAGCCGCGGUAAUACGUAGGGGGCAAGCGUUGUCCGGAAUGACUGGGCGUAAAGGGAGUGUAGGCGGCUUAUCAAGUUAGAUGUGAAAACCACGGGCUCAACCUGUGGCCUGCAUUUGAAACUGUAGUUCUUGAGUACUGGAGAGGCAGACGGAAUUCCUAGUGUAGCGGUGAAAUGCGUAGAUAUUAGGAGGAACACCAGUGGCGAAGGCGGUCUGCUGGACAGCAACUGACGCUGAGGCGCGAAAGCGUGGGGAGCAAACAGGAUUAGAUACCCUAGUAGUC
rnacentral:rRNA from 1 species